UACAGAGGUCUCAAGCGUUGUUCGGAUUCAUUGGGCGUAAAGGGUGCGUAGGUGGCGCGGUAAGUCGGGUGUGAAAUUUCGGAGCUUAACUCCGAAACUGCAUUCGAUACUGCCGUGCUUGAGGACUGGAGAGGAGACUGGAAUUUACGGUGUAGCAGUGAAAUGCGUAGAUAUCGUAAGGGAAGACCAGUGGCGAAGGCGGGUCUCUGGACAGUUCCUGACGCUGAGGCACGAAGGUCAGGGGAGCAAACGGG
rnacentral:rRNA from 1 species